rnacentral:lncRNA from 1 species
GCGGGUCUUCACAAUUUCUAUGCUACAUCUAAGGCUUCAGAAGGUUAAUAAAGCCCCCAGUUUGAAAAGGACCCUCACCUACCACACAUACUUUUAAACAUACUAUUUCACAAAAUGUGAAAAGGGUCUUCAUGUGUUCUUCUUAAAAUGUUUACUUAACCACAAUAAAAGGCUCGGGUGGAUUUCCCAAGUGUCCUCUCGGACCUGCUACAAUGGGAAAAUUUAAACACACUUUCCACCCCACAUCCCUCGUUUAUCAUGCUUGACUCACAAGUCAAAAGCCCCCUUUGAAACUACUGUUAAGCUUGACUUAGAAAAUACCUUAUUUCAAUGUUUCCCCUCUGUGACUACACAAUAUGGAUGAAAACUUGGAGUUAGAGAAAAAGAUAUGAAAAAUAAAUAAAUAAAAUAAGCCCAAACCAUUACUGUGUGCUAAAGUUUAGUCCAGAUUACUCUGGACUAAAGUUAAAGGGUCUAAAUUUGCUUAUCAUCUUGAACAUUUAUGGGUCUGUGCCUCCAAAGGCUUCAAACUAAUAUCAGCUUCAUUAAAGGAAAAUCUUACCAAAAAAAAGCAACCUUACAAGCAUUCUGCAAAAUUCCAGCUAAAAUAAUGAGAAAAAGAGUUAAGAAAAGAAAAAAAUAAAAGCUAUGUGAAUUUCUCCCUGCAAAAUAUUUGCAAAGUAAACACAGAAAAAACUGCCUUUGGAUUCCUUUACCGUUCCAUGAUUGCUUCCUGAAAGAUGGAAUAAUUUGUUUCUAAAAAAUAAUGAUACUGACCAUAUCACUAAUGUAAAUCAUGAUUUCUCAAGGAAAUUUUAUCAACACUGUAAGCUUUCCCAGAAAGGAUACUACUGAUGAAAAUUACAGACACAUUUUGCUUUGUUAGUUGUUCCUGCUUUUUUUCAGAUAUUCAAUCCUAGGCUAUCAUAUUACAGUAAUGCAACCUGAGGGUGGUCCUUCUAAGACGAAUGUGGUAACAUUGUGAUAUGUUUAUUCUGGGAAAAGUCUAUUUCAAUGUCUAAUUAGAAGCUUUUAGAAGUAUUUCCCAGCUCCUCUGUAAAAAAGACUCUUGCAGGGGAGCUGAUCUGGUCUAGAGAUAUCAGCCCACACCUGCAUUUUUAGUUUGUGGAAAGUUCUAAAAGUAUACGCUGCUAUCCUCAGACCCAGCUUAUAUUUAAAAAGCAAAUGUUUUUGGUAAACUGCAAAGUGCUUCGACGAUGAAGGUGUUAUACUUAAAAGGAAUCCAGAUCUCUACCAGAUUCUUCUAAUUACAAGCUAGCUUAUGGCCUAAUCUAUGAGCAGCAGGCAGAGGGAAUCCAGGCUUGAAGACUUGGCUGAAAGGAACAGUUUUAGCAUAGAAUCCGGAAUCACUGCUCCAAAAAUUCCAUGUGAAGUUAAAACCAAUCUCUCACUUCUACUGCCCAUGAAUGCACCCCAUAAUCUAAUUUAUAUUGC